rnacentral:rRNA from 1 species
GGGUCGGUAGGUUGGUCGUGCCACCGGUACGUACUGGUCUCACUGAUUCCUCCUUCCUGAAGAACCGUAAUACCAUUAAUUUGGUGUUGCGGGGAAACAGGACUGUUACUUUGAAAAAAUUAGAGUGUUUAAAGCAAGCUAACGCUUGAAUACAUUAGCAUGGAAUAAUGAAAUAGGACGAUCGAUCCUAUUUUGUUGGUUUCUAGGAUUGACGUA